rnacentral:lncRNA from 1 species
GUAUGGCUAUGAGUGAUUGAGGAACACCCUCUCCAACCAUUAGACUAGAGGAGAUCAAGAUCAAAAUUUAUUUGAUAACGAUCUCUAACUUAUUUUGAUUCCUAUGGUAGAUCUAAUAGUUAGAUAUAGAAUUUCAGCAUCGAUGAGAUCGAUGUAAUUUUUAUUUUUAGAUCUAAAAUAUAUAUUUUUCAUAUCAAAGAUCCUGAUGUGGUAGUCUAAGAUUAGAUCUUAUAUAUAU